rnacentral:rRNA from 1 species
UACGUAGGCAGCGAGCGUUGUUCGGAGUUACUGGGCGUAAAGGGUGCGUAGGCGGUUGUUUAAGUUUGGUGUGAAAUCUCCCGGCCCAACUGGGAGGGUGCGCCGAAUACUGAAUGACUAGAGUGCGGGAGAGGAUAGUGGAAUUCCUGGUGUAGCGGUGAAAUGCGUAGAUAUCAGGAGGAACACCGGUGGUGUAGACGGCUAUCUGGACCGUAACUGACGCUGAGGCACGAAAGCGUGGGUAGCAAACAGG